rnacentral:rRNA from 1 species
GAUUUCUGGUUCGACAUGCCCGACCUAGUGUGGCGACACAUUAAGUGUCGGUGUGUGUCUGCCAUCUUUGCCAGAGAACGGCGCCUCCCUUAAAUGGGCCGGCGUCGCCAUCUGGAUCAUUUACUUUGAAAAAAUUAGAGUGUUUAAAGCAGGCGUUACGCUAUGAAUACAUUAGCAUGGAAUAAUAAUUUAGGACUUUGUUCUUAUUUUGUUGGUUUCUAAGGAUGAAGUAAUGAUUGAUAGGGAUCGUUGGGGGUGCUAGUAUUCAGCGGCCAGAGGUGAAAUUCUUGGAUUCGCUGAAGACUAACUUAUGCGAAAGCAUU